rnacentral:rRNA from 1 species
AACGAACGCUGGCGGCAGGCUUAACACAUGCAAGUCGAGCGCCCCGCAAGGGGAGCGGCAGACGGGUGAGUAACGCGUGGGAAUCUACCCAUCUCUACGGAAUAACGCAUGGAAACGUGUGCUAAUACCGUAUACGUCCUUCGGGAGAAAGAUUUAUCGGAGAUGGAUGAGCCCGCGUUGGAUUAGCUAGUUGGUGGGGUAAAGGCCUACCAGGGCGACGAUCCAUAGCUGGUCUGAGAGGAUGAUCAGCCACACUGGGACUGAGACACGGCCCAGACUCCUACGGGAGGCAGCAGUGGGGAAUAUUGGACAAGGGGCGCAAGCCUGAUCCAGCCAUGCCGCGUGAGUGAUGAAGGCCCUAGGGUUGUAAAGCUCUUUCACCGGUGAAGAUAAUGACGGUAACCGGAGAAGAAGCCCCGGCUAACUUCGUGCCAGCCGCCGCCGUAAAAC